CGGACUAAUGUUGAUAGUGUCUCAUGAAUUAAAAAUUAUGAUUAACUCAAGUCUGUGAACCUGAUGUCCAU